AUUGAACGCUGGCGGCAGGCCUAACACAUGCAAGUCGAACGGCAGCACAUAAGAGCUUGCUCUUUGGGUGGCGAGUGGCGGACGGGUGAGUAAUGUCUGGGAAACUGCCCGAUGGAGGGGGAUAACUACUGGAAACGGUAGCUAAUACCGCAUAACGUCGCAAGACCAAAGUGGGGGACCUUCGGGCCUCACACCAUCGGAUGUGCCCAGAUGGGAUUAGCUAGUAGGUGGGGUAAUGGCUCACCUAGGCGACGGUCCCUAGCUGGUCUGAGAGGAUCACCAGCCACACUGGAACGGAGACACGGUCCAGACUCCUACGGGAGGCAGCAGUGGGGAAUAUUGCACAAUGGGCGCAAGCCUGAUGCAGCCAUGCCGCGUGUAUGAAGAAGGCCUUCGGGUUGUAAAGUACUUUCAGCGGGGAGGAAGGCGGUGAGGUUAAUAACCUCGCCGAUUGACGUUACCCGCAGAAGAAGCACCGGCUAACUCCGUGCCAGCCGCCGCCGUAA
rnacentral:rRNA from 1 species